GUAUUUGUUUAUAACUGGCAUAGCCAAUCAAUUAGAUACAUUCAUAACAUUCAGUUGGGGUGUGUAAAACAUAGGCAUACAGGCCCUGCAAAGACAAGCCUUGCAGUGCCAUGUAAGUCUACAAAGAGUGCACAGGUGGAUGACAAGAGUUGAAAGGUGUGCACAUGCUCCGAAGAGCCAGCAAUCAACCUCCCAGGUUUGUUCAAUAAUGAUCCUUCCGCAGGUUCACCUACGGAAA
rnacentral:misc_RNA from 1 species